rnacentral:rRNA from 1 species
UACGUAGGGUGCAAGCGUUAAUCGGAAUUACUGGGCGUAAAGCGUGCGCAGGCGGUUAUGCAAGACAGAUGUGAAAUCCCCGGGCUCAACCUGGGAACUGCAUUUGUGACUGCAUGGCUAGAGUACGGUAGAGGGGGAUGGAAUUCCGCGUGUAGCAGUGAAAUGCGUAGAUAUGCGGAGGAACACCGAUGGCGAAGGCAAUCCCCUGGACCUGUACUGACGCUUAUGCACGAAAGCGUGGGGAGCAAACAGG